rnacentral:rRNA from 1 species
AACGAACGCUGGCGGCAGGCUUAACACAUGCAAGUCGAGCGCAUCCUUCGGGGUGAGCGGCAGACGGGUGAGUAACGCGUGGGAAUCUACCUUUUGCUACGGAAUAGCUCCGGGAAACUGGAAUUAAUACCGUAUGUGCCCUUAGGGGGAAAGAUUUAUCGGCAAGAGAUGAGCCCGCGUUGGAUUAGCUAGUUGGUGGGGUAAAGGCCUACCAAGGCGACGAUCCAUAGCUGGUCUGAGAGGAUGAUCAGCCUCAUUGGGACUGAGACACGGCCCAAACUCCUACGGGAGGCAGCAGUGGGGAAUAUUGGACAAUGGGCGCAAGCCUGAUCCAGCCAUGCCGCGUGAGUGAUGAAGGCCUUAGGGUUGUAAAGCUCUUUCACCGGAGAAGAUAAUGACGGUAUCCGGAGAAGAAGCCCCGGCUAACUUCGUG